CGCGGUGAUACGGAGGGUGCGAGCGUUAAUCGGAAUUACUGGGCGUAAAGCGCAUGCAGGCGGCCUGUUAAGUCAGAUGUGAAAGCCCGGGGCUUAACCUCGGAAUUGCAUUUGAAACUGGCAGGCUAGAGUCUUGUAUAGGGGGGUAGAAUUUCAGGUGUAGCGGUGAAAUGCGUAUAGAUCUGAAGGAAUACCAGUGGCGAAGGCGGCCCCCUGGACAAAGACUGACGCUCAGAUGCUAAAGCGUGGGGAGCAAACAGGAUUAGAUACCCUGGUAGUCCACGCCGUAAACGAUGUAUACUUGGAGGUUGUGGCCUUGAGCCGUGGCUUUCGGAGCUAACGCGUUAAGUAGACCGCCUGGGGAGUACGGUCGCAAGAUUAAAACUCAAAUGAAUUGACAGGGGCCCGCACAAGCGGUGGAGCAUGUGGUUUAAUUCGAUGCAACGCGAAGAACCUUACCUACUCUUGACAUCCAGAGAA
rnacentral:rRNA from 1 species